rnacentral:ncRNA from 1 species
CUCACUGAGUGUGAGCAUAUCAAUAAAUGAAAGAAAAGAAACUUACAAUGAUUCCCUUAGUAAUGAUGACUGAAUUGGAAACAUCUCGAAUUGAGAAUUGAUCAUCUUCUUAGUUUGAAUUUUAGUUUAGAGAUGCAUCCUUAAUGGCAAACCAAUCACAAAUCCCUGGAAGUGGGUGAUAGAGAGGGUGAUACGCCUGUUGUGCUCAAACCUUGUCACACCACAAGGUGUUAUCUGUGACUCGAGUUUGGGAAUGUAGUCCUAAUUGGUCAGUAAAUUCUACCCAAUGAUAACUAUGAGUGAUAAACCAAUAAAAAAACAAAUACAACGAGGAAAAAAUGAAAAGAACUUUGAAAACAGAGUAAAAUAAUACUUUAAAUUAUCGGGAGGGAAGCAUAUGGGGGUCAAUGAUGUGGCCUAGUUGAAUGUAGAGUAGUGAUGAGUCGGUCUGUCAAUUGAUUUGUGGCAUGGACCAAUGCGGAUUGAGAUGAUAGUCUAAACUCAAGUCUUUUUAUGCUUGUAGAGACAUUAUCAUCCCCAUUGUGGAUGGCAACACAUGAUUUCAGGCAGGCUUUAGCUUCAAUGCAUUCUUCUGGCAUUGAUAUGUGGGCUUUCUAUUCAACCCAUUAUGAAACACUG